rnacentral:rRNA from 1 species
CGGGGUAGGAGUAACGCGUGAGGAACCUGCCUCAAAGAGGGGGGAAACAGUUGGAAACGACUGCUAAUACCGCAUAAGCCCACGGCUCGGCAUCGAGCAGAGGGAAAAGGAGUGAUCCGCUUUGAGAUGGCCUCGCGUCCGAUUAGCUAGUUGGUGAGGUAACGGCCCACCAAGGCAACGAUCGGUAGCCGGACUGAGAGGUUGAACGACCACAUUGGGACUGAGACACGGCCCAG